UCGAAUUAUAAUCCGGCGAGGGGAAAGAGGGGAGUUGUCGCUGGCCUUUUACCGGGCAUGUGCACGCUCUCCUCCGAACCUAAGCCUUAUGGGCGCGGGGCGACCCGCGUCUUCAUAUACCUCUUCGUGUAGAAAGUCUUUGAAUGUUUAUACUAUCAUCGAGUCGCGACUUCUAGGAGACGCGGUUCUUUGAGACAAAAGUUAUUA
rnacentral:misc_RNA from 1 species